rnacentral:lncRNA from 1 species
UUUUUGUAUUUUUAGUAGAGGCGGGGUUUCUCCAUGUUGGCCAGGCUGGUCUGGAACUCCUCACCUCAGAUGAUCCGCCCACCUCGGCCUCCCAAAGUGCUGGGAUUACAGGCGUGACCCACCGCGCCUAGCCCCCAGCUUCUUUCACCAGCAGAAGGCGGGCAAGCCUCAGGGUGAGAGGACUUCAAAGCACAUUUCACAUUGCAGAGGACAGGGUUUGGUGGUCGUGGGUACUCCCUUCCCUUACAUCGUUUAGUUUUUUUCAUUGGGAAGAAAUGGUAAAAGGUGCUAGGACUCGAUGGGCACAUUUCAGGUGGAGGUUGGGAAGGUGGAUAUCCACCUCUCGAUCUUACUAUUUUCACUUUCCACUCCCCCCCGUAGAAAGUGGGAAAACUGGCGCACGUGAAACCAAGGGCACGCCUGUGUGCGCUCGCACCCCAGGGCACCAGCCCCCACCACCCACACUGCAGGUCCUUGAUUGGACGCCUGUUUACACCUGACUGCCCAGCCCUCCGGUGCUUUCCGGGAAGCGUUUGGGAGAAAAGUGUGUGGCCGCAGUAGUGGAGAUCCCUUGUCUUAGGAUUCGUCACUACUACGCCCAGACCUCUUCGCCGUCCAAGAGCCUGGGGCCGUGGGGGGCGGGGCGGCCUGCUAUCGGCCCCGCCUCUCUCGGCCCCGCCCCGCCGACAGGACCCGCCUCUCUCCCCAGGCCCGGCGGGGCCGACCCCGCCUCUCGCUCCCAGCAUGCCGUGCGACAGUGGCGGCGCGGCGGGCGGAGCCGGGAGGCGGGGAAGCAGUGGCCUUGUGAGCGUGGGGAGCUGCCGCCACCGCCUGCUCCUCGUCGUCCUCGUCCUCCGGGGCCCCGGCGUCGUGGGCCGCGCAUGGCCCUGGAAGAGAAGUCGGCGCCCCUUCAUCCGCCUCUCUCUCACCGCGCCGCUCCCGCCUCCUCAUUCUGCGUUGCGGGCUCAGGCGGAACCCGGAACGGCCGUCCUCUUACCCCGCCCUCCG